AAACUUUUAGUUUAAUUUAGAAUGUUUCACUUACAAUGAAAUGGUUAAAAAGUUUUA
rnacentral:tRNA from 1 species